ACUUUGGUGCCACUUGGCAUCCACUUAAAACACUUACUGCCACCUGUCAUCUCUUAAGGUUGCUGGCUUUGGAAAAUGGCGCUCAGAAUUUUGCUUUGCCUUCACCGUUCUCUUUUUCCAUUUUCUCAUCACUUUUCCUUUUCCCUUUCCAAAACCCUAAAUUCAACCAUGGCCGCAUACCUCUUUCCACCAUGACAAUCUUCGAUCUGAAUAUUUAUAUCCAUUAUUCUGGCCGUUCACUCCAUUUCGCAAUGAAUCAAGACUUGAUAACCACAAAGAAUUGCAUCAACAAUCGUCAAGAAUCAACAUAAUCCAUGUUAAUCAUCGAUUCUUGCUUCCAAUUUCUUAUUAUAGAGGAUCUGCCAUAUAAUUUCAAGGUUGUGGUUAGUUGUGGAUGAUGGAGGCGGCGAUGGUGAUUAAGAUGGAACUGUGCUUCUGAAGAAGGAAUGUGAUGAUGUGCCAUUUGAGUUCAAAAAAGAUGAAGGUGAGUGCCAUAUAGGUAAGUUGUCAUAGUAAUAUCGAAUCUUUGAUGGAGCUUAUAUCAUAAUCUGGAACAGUUAAUUGUUAUAGAAUAAGAGAGUUGGUGGUCGGGUUGAUUCUAGAGACGAAAAAUAAUAUCAAUGGUUCUGAACUUUCUACUCUACUUGCUAGCCAUAUGGAUGUGGACAAGGUAAGUUUCGGGCUAUGGCCCAACUGGUGCAGCUCUUGCUAGCCAUAUGGAUGUGGACAAGGAUGAUAUGCUGAUAGCUCAAGAUGAGAUAUUUGGUCCUGUUCAAACCAUCUUGAAAUUCAAGGAGGUUGAUGAAGAGAUACAAAGGGCCAAUGCGACGCGAUAUGGACUUGCAUCGGGUGUUUUCACC